GAUGAAGAACGCAGCGAAAUGCGAUACGUAAUGUGAAUUGCAGAAUUCAGUGAAUCAUCGAAUCUUUGAACGCAUAUUGCGCUCUCUGGUAUUCCGGAGAGCAUGCUUGUUUGAGUAUCAGUAAACACCUCAACUUCCAUAUCUUUCUUGAAAUGGGAGUUGGACUUGAGUGAUCCCAACGCUUUUCCUCACCGAAAAGUGGCGGGUUACUUGAAAUGCAGGUGCAGCUGGACUUUUCUCUGAGCUAUAAGCAUAUCUAUUUAGUCUGCCUAAAAAACAGAUUAUUACCUUUGCUGCAGCUAACAUAAAGGAGAUUAGUUCUUGUGCUGACUGAUGCAGGAUUCACAAAGACAGCUUCGGCCGACUUUGUAAACUCGAUCUCAAAUCAAGUAAGACUACCCGCUGAACUUAAGCAUAUCAAUAAGCGGAGGA
rnacentral:misc_RNA from 1 species